AUUGAACGCUGGCGGCAGGCCUAACACAUGCAAGUCGAGCGGAUGAAGGGAGCUUGCUCCUGGAUUCAGCGGCGGACGGGUGAGUAAUGCCUAGGAAUCUGCCUGGUAGGGGGGGAUAACGUCCGGAAACGGGCGCUAAUACCGCAUACGUCCUGAGGGAGAAAGUGGGGGAUCUUCGGACCUCACGCUAUCAGAUGAGCCUAGGUCGGAUUAGCUAGUUGGUGGGGUAAAGGCCUACCAAGGCGACGAUCCGUAACUGGUCUGAGAGGAUGAUCAGUCACACUGGAACUUAGACACGGUCCAGACUCCUACGGGAGGCAGCAGUGGGGAAUAUUGGACAAUGGGCGAAAGCCUGAUCCAGCCAUGCCGCGUGUGUGAAGAAGGUCUUCGGAUUGUAAAGCACUUUAAGUUGGGAGGAAGGGCAGUAAGUUAAUACCUUGCUGUUUUGACGUUACCAACAGAAUAAGCACCGGCUAACUUCGUG
rnacentral:rRNA from 1 species